rnacentral:rRNA from 1 species
CCAAGUCAGGUGGGACUACCCGCUG